rnacentral:lncRNA from 1 species
CAGCCUUGAUCAUGUGACUUCCAGCAUGAUCACCUACUGCCUUCUGAGUAGAAGAACUCACUGCAGAGCAGUUUACCUCAUUUUACCUUAGUUGCAUGUGAUGACAAUGUUGAGUUAUUACUUGCAGAGAUAGAAGCAAAAAAUUACAAAAAUACACAGGGUAGUGGGUCCUUUUGUGGCUUUCCUAGUGACUCAAAUUGACUUCCCCCCACCUUUGCACAGGUGCUUUCAAUAGUUUUCAAAUUAUUUUUCAAUAAAUCUUUUAGCCAGGAGUUCAGUAUAUCUGUUUUAAAGACGUGUAGAAUGAGGCCAAUUAAACAGAAGGUGUUUUGUGCUUGUUUGUGUGUAUCAGAUGUACCUUGCUGAGCAUGUAAUAAUACAUCCUGUACAUAUGAAAUUAGUUCUUUCCAUGGCAAAAGCUAUUACCUUGUAUGAUGCUCUAAUCACAUUGCAUUAAUUUUAUUUUGCACAGUGACCUUGUAGCCCCAUGAGAAAGCAUGUGUGUUUUUGUUCGGUCUCAGAUUUAUCUGGUUGAGUUGGUGUUUU